AGCAGCAAAAGUGAGGUGCAUGUCUGUGUGUGUGUAUGGAGCCAUUGGGUGCAGUCACUAUAGCAACCAGGCUCACACCUGCCUGCUUAACGAGCUCUGUCUCACUCUGCCAAGGUUAAUUGUAAAAAUGUCUGUUGAUUCAUCUUAAAAAUUUCUGUUACAACAAAGCGGUUGGAGUUAGAUUAAGUCAACAGGUUCAACAAGUCAGAUUUGACAGGGUUUUGCCACAGAUUAAAAGUAUGUCAGCAGUUAGUAUAAGCCGACUGAAUAGAGCAUUCUCCUUGGCCUUUUAAAUUCAAGCUUAUUGUGUAUUGGUGGACUUGUCUUCUGCACACAGGUUUUUCAGAUCUGGGCAGUUGGAGUCAGUUGAUGACUUUUAAAUACUCCUUUCUGUCUGGAUAAUUAAAGCUCACAGCAUCUACCUGUCUGUAGUGGAUUUUCCCACAUUUUAAAUGAUGUAAUCUCAUUUAAUGUCUCUGUUUUUAGUCUGUAUAGUUUUUCUCCCUACGAAUACACUCAAAGUAGUCUUAAAAUAAAACCCACAAAACAAUUCAAGAUGAAAUACUUUUUAUUUUCUCGUUUAAUGCCCGUUGCCCUCUUUCUCUGUAUGUCACUCAUUUGCUAAUACUCAGGCAAAAAGUACCAAUUUGUAUGCUGAUGUGUCUUGUGUAUUUUUUUUUACCUCUGUCUCUCUAUGACAGAGAAAUGUAUAUGCUCAAUAUUGCUGUUCAAACUGAUGCUCAAAUUACCAAGCACUACCUGAACGCCUCAUCGGUCUUUAACGAAUCACUGCACCAACUGUCGUCAUUCCGCUUUGCUCUCUGCUGUGGAACUUGACUGACAUCUGUGCUUUGCCUGUGUGCAGAAGAACAAGGACCAGAUCUCCAGUCUUCUCUGUCACAUCCCAACCACAUC